AGCGAACGCUGGCGGCAGGCUUAACACAUGCAAGUCGAACGGGCAUCUUCGGAUGUCAGUGGCAGACGGGUGAGUAACACGUGGGAACGUACCCUUCGGUUCGGAAUAACUCAGGGAAACUUGAGCUAAUACCGGAUACGCCCUUUUGGGGAAAGGUUUACUGCCGAAGGAUCGGCCCGCGUCUGAUUAGCUUGUUGGUGGGGUAACGGCCUACCAAGGCGACGAUCAGUAGCUGGUCUGAGAGGAUGAUCAGCCACACUGGGACUGAGACACGGCCCAGACUCCUACGGGAGGCAGCAGUGGGGAAUAUUGGACAAGGGGCGCAAGCCUGAUCCAGCCAUGCCGCGUGAGUGAUGAAGGCCUUAGGGUUGUAAAGCUCUUUUGUCCGGGACGAUAAUGACGGUACCGGAAGAAUAAGCCCCGGCUAACUUCGUG
rnacentral:rRNA from 1 species